GACGAACGCUGGCGGCGUGCUUAACACAUGCAAGUCGAACGGAAAGGCCCUGCUUUUGUGGGGUGCUCGAGUGGCGAACGGGUGAGUAACACGUGAGUAACCUGCCCUUGACUUUGGGAUAACUUCAGGAAACUGGGGCUAAUACCGGAUAGGAGCUCCUGCUGCAUGGUGGGGGUUGGAAAGUUUCGGCGGUUGGGGAUGGACUCGCGGCUUAUCAGCUUGUUGGUGGGGUAGUGGCUUACCAAGGCUUUGACGGGUAGCCGGCCUGAGAGGGUGACCGGCCACAUUGGGACUGAGAUACGGCACAGACUCCUACGGGAGGCAGCAGUGGGGAAUAUUGCACAAUGGGUGGAAGCCUGAUGCAGCAACGCCGCGUGCGGGAUGACGGCCUUCGGGUUGUAAACCGCUUUCGCCUGUGACGAAGCGUGAGUGACGGUAAUGGGUAAAGAAGCACCGGCUAACUACGUG
rnacentral:rRNA from 1 species